rnacentral:rRNA from 1 species
AUUGAACGCUAGCGGCAUGCCUUACACAUGCAAGUCGAACGGAGUGGCGAACGGGUGAGUAAUGUAUAGGAACGUGCCCAGUAGUGGGGGAUAACUACGCGAAAGCGUAGCUAAUACCGCAUACUCUUGGAGCGGCCGAUUUCGGAUUAGCUAGUGGGUGGGGUAACGGCACACCAAGGCGAAGAUCCUUAGCUGGUUUGAGAGGACGACCAGCCACACUGGAACUGAGACACGGCCCAGACUCCUACGGGAGGCAGCAGUGGGGAAUUUUGGACAAUGGGGGAAACCCUGAUCCAGCCAUCCCGCGUGUGCGAUGAAGGCCUUCGGGUUGUAAAGCACUUUUGGCAGGGAAGCGGUACCUGCAGAAUAAGCACCGGCUAACUACGUGCCAGCAGCCGCGGUAAUAC